AACGAACGCUGGCGGCAGGCUUAACACAUGCAAGUCGAACGCACCGCCAGGGGUGUGGCCGACGGGUGGGUAGGGCGAGGGGACAUACACUUUUCUGUGGCAUAGCCUCGGGAUACUGGAAUUAUUACCGCAUACGCGCUACGGGGGAAAGAUUUAUCGGGGAAGGAUUGGGGCGCGUUGGAUUUGCGAGGUGGUGGGGUGAAGGCCUAGCAAGGCGGCGAGUCAUAGCUGGUCGGGGAGGAUGAUACGUCACAUUGGGACUGGGGCACGGCCCAAACUCCUACGGGAGGGAGCAGUAGGGAGUAUUGGGCGAGGGGGGCAAGUCUGAUCCAGCCAUGCCGGGGGAGUGAUGAAGGCCUUAGGGAUGUAAAGCUCUUUCACCGAUGGAGAUAAUGACGGUAGUCGGAGAAGAAGCCCCGGCUAACUUCGUG
rnacentral:rRNA from 1 species